rnacentral:rRNA from 1 species
UGGCUCAUUACAACAGCCGUCGUUUCUUGGAUCUCUUAUUUUACUUGGAUAACUGUGGUAAUUCUAGAGYUAAUACACGCACUAAAGCUCCGACCUUACGGGACGAGCGCAUUUAUUAGAACAAAACCAAUCGGGUUUCGGCCCGUUCGUUGGUGACUCUGAAUAACUACGCCGAUCGCACGGUCUCGCACCGGCGACGCAUCUUUCAAGUGUCUGCCUUAUCAACUUUCGAUGGUAGUUUAUGUGCCUACCAUGGUUGUAACGGGUAACGGAGAAUAAGGGUUCGACUCCGGAGAGGGAGCCUGAGAAACGGCUACCACAUCCAAGGAAGGCAGCAGGCGCGCAAAUUACCCACUCUCGGCACGAGGAGGUAGUGACGAAAAAUAACGAGACGGAUCUCUUUGAGGCCCGUUAUCGGAAUGAGAACAAUUCAAAUCCUUUAACGAGGAUCUAGCGGAGGGCAAGUCUGGUGCCAGCAGCCGCGGUAAUUCCAGCUCCGCAGGUGUAUAUYUAUGCUGCUGCGGUUAAAAAGCUCGUAGUUGGAUCUGCGUGCUCGGAACCGGUUGGCUCACUGAGUUCAAACUGGUCUCCGGCGCUUUAUCGGCUGGUUUUCCCUUGAUGCUCUUAACCGGGUGUCUUGGGUGGCUAGCACGUUUACUUUGAAAAAAUUAGAGUGCUCAAUACAGGCGCAAAGCCUUGAAUAGUGGUGCAUGGAAUAAUAGAAUAGGACCUCGGUUCUAUUUUGUUGGUUUUCGGAACGCGAGGUAAUGAUUAAGAGGGACAGACGGGGGCAUUCGUAUUGCGACGUUAGAGGUGAAAUUCUUGGAUCGUCGCAAGACGGACGACUGCGAAAGCAUUUGCCAA